AGUACGUGAAACUGCUUAGAGGUUAAGCCCGAUGAACCUGAAUAUCCAUUAUGGAAAAUUCAACAUUAAUAUUAUAAUAUUUAUUUAUAAAUAUUAUAAAAAUAGUGUGCAAUUUUUCCAUAUAAGGACAUUGUAAUCUGUUAAUGUAAUAAAUAUUUAUCAUAAGAUUCAGUAUAUAAAAGUUUAUUCAAAUUAGUUAUUUUCCGAUUUCUAACAUAGAAUAAAUUUAAUUGAAUUUGAUAAAUCAUUGACAGAUUUAUUUAUAUAUAGUGCUUAAAUUCUUAAUUGAAUUUUACAAUAAUUUAUAAAUGUAUUUUCAUUUAUUUAUUUAUUGUAUGCACUUAUAUGAUUAACAAUGCUAUAGAUUCAGGAUACCUUCGGGACCCGUCUUGAAACACGGACCAAGGAGUCUAACAUAUGUGCAAGUCAUUGGGUAUUUUUAAUAAAACCCAAAGGCAUAAUUAACUUAACUGUUUUUUUAUAUGGGAUUAGUUUAUAUUUUAUUAUGAAAUAUUAAUUCAAUCCCGGGGCGUUCUAUAUAGUUAUGUAUAAUAAUAUUUAUAUUAUUUAUGCCUCUAACUAGAGCGUACCUUGAGCAUAUAUGCUGUGACCCGAAAGAUG
rnacentral:rRNA from 1 species